rnacentral:sRNA from 1 species
UGUUAAUCGUUUGCCUGCAUUACUCGAAAACCGCUCAGACAGAAGCACGAUAGUAGGCUGGAUGGUUGAGUCAGCUGGUCGUCUGAGAGUAUUUAUUGGACGUUAUUAGUCGGUAUGCAGUUAUGAACUGCGAAUUUUGUCUGAUCUGGAGGAAAAGUGGAAGAGCUAAUCAAUGUUAUAAAGUGCGUAAUGAGCACAAGAUUUUUUUUCCUAACUGUGGGAAAAUAAUUUAACGCACUAUUUAUGUGCCUUUUUCCUACUAAAAUUAACCGGCUGAGGAGUUUUUAUGGAUACCAAUCUGAAAAUGUCGCUGAUUACGACUGUUGGUGCGCUGGCAAUGAUUAUUGUCUUUAGCUUCGUGGCGGUAAUGAAUUAAUU